AUACGGAGGAUCCGAGCGUUAUCCGGAUUUAUUGGGUUUAAAGGGUGCGCAGGCGGCCAUUUAAGUCAGCGGUUAAAUCGUGGGGCUCAACCCCAUUCUGCCGUUGAUACUGGGUGGCUUGAUUGCGGUCGAGGUUGGCGGAAUUCGUUGUGUAGCGGUGAAAUGCAUAGAUAUGACGAAGAACACCGAUUGCGUAGGCAGCUGACCAGACCGCAAAUGACGCUCAUGCACGAAAGUGCGGGGAUCGAACAGGAUUAGAUACCCUGGUAGUCCGCGCAGUAAACGAUGAAUACUUGUUUUCGGCGAUAUAAUGUCGGAGGCAAAGCGAAAGCGAUAAGUAUUCCACCUGGGGAGUACGCCGGCAACGGUGAAACUCAAAGGAAUUGGCGGGG
rnacentral:rRNA from 1 species